rnacentral:hammerhead_ribozyme from 1 species
UUCUAGCUGACGAGUCCCGAAUAGGAUGAAACGUGCGUCCUGGAU